CCCCUGAGAGAAUUUUCCCCUUUGUCACCCAUUUCCCUUGUUCUUCCCCACUGCAGCUGAGGCCCUUGUUGUAGCAGGGUCAAGAUGCACGACGUCUUCAGGGUGCGGAGCUGCAACCUGGGGAUGAAUUCAGAGGCGGUGUGAGCAGCAGGGGAGCCUCCGGGUCGGUGCUCACCUCAUCCCUUCUCGCCGCUCUCGCCCCUCUCCUUGGAAGGUGCGGCCGACAGGACGGUUUUCCAAGAGCGGCUGCGAAUCCAGUGACGCACCGACACGAGUUGUUACCAAGACAACCAGCACAGCCGGUCGGGAGGAGUGAGAUGCAACAAUUCCAGCUAUAUUUCUUUCCGAUUUCAAAAUACAGG
rnacentral:lncRNA from 1 species